rnacentral:rRNA from 1 species
UACGGAGGGUGCAAGCGUUAUCCGGAUUCACUGGGUUUAAAGGGAGCGUAGGUGGGCUGGUAAGUCAGUGGUGAAAUCUCCGGGCUUAACUCGGAAACUGCCGUUGAUACUAUCAGUCUUGAAUAUUGUGGAGGUAAGCGGAAUAUGUCAUGUAGCGGUGAAAUGCUUAGAUAUGACAUAGAACACCAAUUGCGAAGGCAGCUCACUACACAGCGAUUGACGCUGAGGCACGAAAGCGUGGGGAUCAAACAGG